rnacentral:sRNA from 1 species
CCGCAGAUGAUGCUCGGAGGUCGUCUUU